UACGUAGGGUGCAAGCGUCGUCCGGAAUUAUUGGGCGUAAAGAGCUCGUAGGCGGUCUGUCGCGUCGGCUGUGAAAACUCGGGGCUCAACUCCGAGCUUGCAGUCGAUACGGGCAGGCUAGAGUUCGGCAGGGGAGACUGGAAUUCCUGGUGUAGCGGUGAAAUGCGCAGAUAUCAGGAGGAACACCGGUGGCGAAGGCGGGUCUCUGGGCCGAUACUGACGCUGAGGAGCGAAAGCGUGGGGAGCGAACAGG
rnacentral:rRNA from 1 species